rnacentral:rRNA from 1 species
CAGUAGGGUGCCAUCAAGAGG